UACGAAGGGGGCUAGCGUUGCUCGGAAUGACUGGGCGUAAAGGGCGCGUAGGCGGUUUGGACAGUCAGACGUGAAAUUCCUGGGCUCAACCUGGGGGCUGCGUUUGAUACGUGCGGACUUGAGUGCGGAAGAGGGUCGUGGAAUUCCCAGUGUAGAGGUGAAAUUCGUAGAUAUUGGGAAGAACACCGGUGGCGAAGGCGGCGACCUGGUCCGAUACUGACGCUGAGGCGCGAAAGCGUGGGGAGCAAACAGG
rnacentral:rRNA from 1 species